rnacentral:lncRNA from 1 species
UGCUGUUUUUCCAUACCCUGCUGGAUAGGAAGAGAGAUCUAAAUGCAGGCGCGUCCAGAAAACCAUGAUUAUUCGCCAGAGUGUGCAGCAUUAAGUCCAAACUAUAGCAGGAGCAGGACCUCCAUUUGAGAACAUGGGCAGUGCUGAAGAAAGUGAAGUUCAGAAUAUGUUUUCAAAAUAAACACACAGUUUACUCUCUCACCAUUUGAAUCCAAACGCUUGAUUUGGACACAAAACCCUAAAGUUAUUCAUCACAAUAUAUUUAGCAAGAAAAUUUUAUUUCCUUUUUUCUUUUCCCUUACAAAUUUCUCUGGUGGCCAAAAACAACGGGUAGGUCUUCCCCGUGUUUGUUACUUCAGAAAGCAGAAGGAUGAGACUGGUUGUUGGCGUCCAGAUUACUCAUGUUUACAUAAUUUGAC